rnacentral:lncRNA from 1 species
GCCCCCCCGCGCCCCCCGCGGCCGCGCCCCUCCGCGCCGCUCCGUUUUGGCUUCUGUGUGAGGACCCGUUGGAGACUCCCGGGAGGCCUGCACGUCUCAGGCCCUGGGGCUGGUGGCUGGACGCGGCCGGUGAGUCCCAUCUUCACUAAAGGCAAGCAAGUGCCUCUUACAGCAGUUGCAACUUCAUGACCCUAACACCUAAAGGAAAUAAUUUUGCACUAUACUUUCACAGUUCUCUUCACUCUUCCAAGACUAGAAAAAAAUGAUCACAGCCCAGGUGAGUUGUUUAUUUAUUCACCAUUUUGCUUAACAGUAAUGUGAGGUUUGUAA